AGUGAACGCUGGCGGCAGGCCUAAUACAUGCAAGUCGAACGGCAGCACAGCAGAGCUUGCUCUGUGGGUGGCGAGUGGCGGACGGGUGAGGAAUACAUGGGAAUCUGCCCAGUCGUGGGGGAUAACGUAUGGAAACGUACGCUAAUACCGCAUGCGCCCUACGGGGGAAAGCCGGGGACCGCAAGGCCUGGCGCGAUUGGAUGAGCCCAUGUUCGAUUAGCUAGUUGGCGGGGUAAAGGCCCACCAAGGCGACGAUCGAUAGCUGGUCUGAGAGGAUGAUCAGCCACACUGGAACUGAGACACGGUCCAGACUCCUACGGGAGGCAGCAGUAGGGAAUAUUGGACAAUGGGGGCAACCCUGAUCCAGCCAUGCCGCGUGAGUGAAGAAGGCCCUCGGGUUGUAAAGCUCUUUUGUCCGGAAAGAAAGCAAUCGGUUAAUACCCGGUUGUUCUGACGGUACCGGAAGAAUAAGCACCGGCUAACUUC
rnacentral:rRNA from 1 species